AUUGAACGCUGGCGGUAGGCCUAACACAUGCAAGUCGAGCGGCAGCACAGUACUUGCUCCUUCUUACAGCGGCGGACGGGUGGGUAAUUCCUAGGAACCUCCCUGGCUGCGUGGGCUAACGUGCGGACACGGGCAAUCAUACGCUAUUCCUCCUGACGGCGUACGUGGGAGAUCAUCGGACCUUCCGACAUUGCGCGAUUGAAUGAGGCGAUGUCGGAUUAGCUAGUUGGCGGGGUACAAGCCCACCAAGGCGACGAUCCGUAGCUGGUCUGAGAGGAUGAUCAGUCACACUGGAACUGAGACACGGUCCAGACUCCUACGGGAGGCAGCAGUGGGGAAUAUUGGACAAUGGGCGAAAGCCUGAUCCAGCCAUACCGCGUGGGUGAAGAAGGUCUUCGGGUUGUAAAGCACUUUUGGUGGGAAAGAAAAGCAGUAAGUUAAUACCCUGCUGUUUUGACGUUACCAAAAGAAUAAGCACCGGCUAACUUCGUG
rnacentral:rRNA from 1 species